rnacentral:rRNA from 1 species
UACGGAGGGUGCAAGCGUUGCUCGGAAUUAUUGGGCGUAAAGGGUAGGUAGGUGGUCUCGUUUGUCAGGGGUGAAAGCCUUAGGCUUAACUCAAGAAGUGCCCCUGAAACGGCGAGACUCGAGUACUGGAGAGGCUAGUGGAAUUCCCGGUGUAGCGGUGAAAUGCGUAGAGAUCGGGAGGAACACCAGAGGCGAAGGCGGCUAGCUGGACAGUUACUGACACUCAACUACGAAAGCGUGGGGAGCAAACAGG